rnacentral:tRNA from 1 species
GCGGGCGUAAUUCAGUGGUAGAAUACCAGCUUCCCAAGCUGGGUGUCGUGGGUUCGAAUCCCAUCGCCCGCUCUA